rnacentral:rRNA from 1 species
UUACGUCCCCUGCCCUUUGUACACACCGCCCGUCGCUACUACCGAUUGAAUGGCUCGGUGAGGCCUUCGGACUGGCCCAGGAGGGUUGGCAACGACCCCCCAGGGCCGGAAAGUUGGUCAAACCCGGUCAUUUAGAGGAAGUAAAAGUCGUAACAAGGUUUCCGUAGGUGAACCUGCGGAAGGAUCAUUAC